UAAACCUCUUCCAGAGUAUCAAUUGGAGGGCAGUCUGGUGCCAGCAGCCGCGGUAAUUCCAGCUCCAAUAGCGUAUAUUAAAUUUGUUGCAGUUAAAAAGCUCGUAGUUGAAUUUCUGCUGCAUUACAUUUCUCUUGUUUGAGUUUGUUAUUGUGGCUUAUUUCGGAUUGAUUUUUAUCAUUCCGGAUGAUUACUUUGAGAAAAUUAGAGUGCUCAAAGCAGGCUUUUGCCUUGAAUAGUUUAGCAUGGAAUAAUAGAGUAGGACUUUGGUUCUAUUUUGUUGGUUUUAGGUACCAAAGUAAUGGUUAAUAGGAACAGUUGGGGGCAUUCGUAUUUAACUGUCAGAGGUGAAAUUCUUAGAUUUGUUAAAGACGAACUACUGCGAAAGCAUUUGCCAAGGAUGUUUUCAUUAAUCAAGAACGAAAGUUAGGGGAUCGAAGACGAUCAGAUACCGUCGUAGUCCUAACCAUAAACUAA
rnacentral:rRNA from 1 species